UGGCAUUUCUUCUUCCUUCCGUGGUUCUCAAGCUCCUUCUGCCUCCACACUGUUAUUAUACAAAACCCACCCCCAUUAAUAACACUACAACAUUACAAUUGUCCCCCCCAAAAUGGAGGACUCCCUGCCUUUCUGCCCUCUCAAAUGAGAAUCACUGAAAUCAUUUCACCCCCAAAUAUAUAGAAAGACCACAAUAAAUAUUAAUACAAGAAACCAGCCAGGGAACUACAUGCUGGUUACUUACAUAUAAGGAAUGCAAAAACCUAGUAAGUGCUAGCCCCCCGUGCUAUAUAUAUACCUAGAGACAGAGAGCCUCCACAUCCUAUCUCUAAUGCAAGAGAUCACUCUACAAGAAGCUCAGAGAAGUUAAGGAACUUGACUUCUCAGUCAUACCUAGAAAACAACUGAUCCGGUGGACAAAGAACUUGUGAAUCUGGACUUCAGAGUUCCAGUCCUGGCUCCAGGUGACUCUGGCCCUGCCCUCUUUGCCUCCCCCAAAGUUAUUCUCCGCCUUCGUGAAAUAAAAACGUAAAAACUCCUCCCUCCCCACUUCCACCAGUCCCAGAAGACCCGGGGGAUGGCUGAAGCAUGUGGCUAAAGCUGCGUGUGUUGGACAAAGCAUGAGAAAACGCUGAUCUCCUCUGAUGCAAAAAUCACAGGCUUGCAGGAAAACUAGAUUCCGUACAAAGCUCCCUCCUUUUUUCCCCUAGAGCCACACAAAAACUCGGAAGCGAGGGUGGGCUGUAGCAGCACGUGACCAAACCGACGAACACGCCGAAGGGCAGCCCGUGGUUCCACACCAAUGAAAGGAGGGCAGGGUUUCCCUGGCAUCUGGCCCCGGGCAGCCGGCAGGGGCUCGCACGGCGCCACGCGGGGGGCUGCCAGACCGGACUUUAGGGGUGUGCGGCAGGGGAAGGACGGCACAGCGCACAGCACAUCAGUCGGUUUGCAGGAUGACAAGUGUGUUCCUACAGUUGCUUCUAAGGAGUCUUUAAACGUUUGUGGAAAUACGGAAGGAAAAAAAAAAAAAAAAAAAAAAGGCAGGGCGCACUCCGACUGCUCCUUCGCCGCUCAGGUUUAAGGCCCUUCGGCUCCAUCCGGCCGGACAGGGUCAGCACGAGGGCCCGGGCAGCAGCUGAGAGCUCGCAAGGGGCACAACGGUCUGAACUGGGGCGGGGGGUGCGGGACCCCAGAGACCUUGCUAUGUCUCUUUGUGUCUCCAUCGCCACCUUCACAAAAGGAAUUUUAUAAGACCUGAAACACCCUAAAGGCAGCUGACUUAUCCUGGCAGACCCCACAGCACCUCACUCCAAGCCUGUACCAGGCAUCCGACGCGCCUUGGGAGCCAGGCGCCCGCCUGAUCCAUAUUCAGCCUGUGUGUAUACAAGCACGCUUUUAUAAAACGCGAAGAGAUAUUCUCCACUGGACAUUCCUGAGUAUCAGAGUGAGUGAAUAAAGAC